rnacentral:lncRNA from 1 species
CAGGGGAUGAUCUCAUCUUGAACCGGAGGGAGGUCUAGCCGGUGUUGAUUCAUUUUAGCGGGGAGCCUGCAGAGCCGAGGGCCUUGCCUCUCCACCUGUGAUUUUCAGCAUUCCGUUGGGUCAGCUUCAGGGCGUUUGUCUUUUAAGACUAAAGUUAGCAGUUUUUAAAAGGAGAAACUGAAAGCCUGUUCUCUUGUCGUCUACAUGACUAGGACGGGGCCAGAAACAGACAGCCGCGGACUCUCGUGGUUGGGUGAAAGUACAUGGACUUGCUCACUCGCUUCGGUGGGGUCUUGGCGAAGGGUCUGAAUCCUGGCUCUGCCACUGAUGAGCUGUGUGACCUUAAGCACGUUACCUAGUCUAUCUGAAACUCGGCUUCCUUAUUUGCAAAAGAGGGAUUCAAAGGAUCUUGCAGAAUCUGAAGAGGACUCCAUGACAUGUGACUGGCUAUGCUGGAUGCCUUCCAAAGGCUGCACCCUGACCCAGAGCCCGCAGCGCUGAGGAGCGCAGACGUGGGGACACAAGAAUCCGCUGGCCCCUCUCCUAGCUGCUGUCCUUGGCCACACUCCCCUUCACUCCAGGCCGG